GUCCAUGAGAGGGAAGCUUGGGCUGCUGUGUAAUUUAUAUUGGUGUAUUUAUGUCUUUAAGCGAUAGGCAGGAUAUGUAAUGUGGCCUUUGCGGCAAGGAGUGUUGAAAUAGCCUAAUUGUUUGGUUCAUCAUUAUUCCCUGAAACAUCUUGAGGACACCAGACAGGGAACCAACAUCACUCCUGCAACAUGGCAUAUCGACGUGGUCGAAAAAGUAUUAGAGAGGCAUAUGAAGACCACUUCUCAUCAGCAGACGCAAGAGAGGAGCAGUGGCAGACCUCAUCAUUUCCGCAAAAGAGGUCAAGGGUUAGGCCCUCCUCUGAGGACAGAACAGGACAGAAAAGCCAAGGAAGACCGUGAUGACUACAGGACCUGUCAGCCUCUUGUAAUCACGUGGGACCGCUCUCCUGGAAGGAGGGAAGCCCAGCCAUCUGUAACUAUUCGCUCUGGAUCAAAUACCAACAGAAACUUCUCUCCUGACAGGGACAAAGGCUGUCCAUAUCAGCAGGCACAGCAAAAGCGUACGUAUCAAAGGGGCCGUAUUAUUCGAAAUCCUUAGAUUAGAAAGUGUUCUCUGAAUGAGGUUUGCUCCUCUCUGCCACUAACUGGCCUAACCCCAAUCUCCCCUCUGAGGACUUACCACCUACAGACCAACGUCACAGCUGCAGUGUUCGAGUAAGUGAGUUUGUGAGGGCUAGAAAUGGUACAAAAAGAAAGAAUGGGACACAUGUUCGUGACAGCACACAUUGUUUGCAAACAAUGCAUCACCAUUUAUGAACAAGAUUUAAGACUUGUAUUUCAUUUGCAGUGUUUAUACAUAUUAACUAACUACCAAGAGUCUGAAUAGCCAUGAACAUCUGUAAAUCCUAUGCAGACAUUUGACUGAAAAUGUUAAAAACUCUAGAAAUAAUAAAUAACAACAACAGCGAGCAGCCAGAUAGAUUUACAUUACUCAUCGGUGUCACAAUGGUAACAGAAACACAUGUGGACAAAAUUGUUGGUACCCCUCGGUUAAUGGAAGAAAAACCCACAAUGGUCACAGAAAUAAUUUGAAUCUGACAAAAGUAAUAAUAAAUAAAAAUUAUAUGAAAAUGAACCAACGAAAAUCAGUCAUUUCUUUUGAACCGUGGUUCAACAGAAUUAUUUUAAAAAAUAAACUCAUGAAACUGGCCUGGACAAAAAUGAUCGUACCCCUAGAAAAGACUGAAAAUAAUGUGGCCAUAGGGACAUGUUCAAUCAAGGUGUGUCCUCUAAUUAGCAUCACAGGUGUCUACAAACUUGUAAUCAGUCAGUCGGCCUAUUUAUAGGGUUACAGUAGUCACUGUACUGUUUGUUGACAUGGUGUGUACCACACUAAACAUGGACCAGAGGAAGUCAAGGAGAGAGUUGUCUCAGGAGCUUAGAAAGAAAAUUAUAGACAAGCAUGUUAAAGGCUAUAAGACCAUCUCCAAGCAGCUUGAUGUUCCUGUGACUACAGUUGCACAUAUUAUUCAGAAAUGUAAGAUCCAUGGGACUGUAGCCAACCUCCCUGGACGUGGCCACAGGAGGAAAACUGAUGACAAAUGGAAGAGACGGAUAAUACGAAUGGUAACAAAAGAGCCCAGAACAACCUCUAAAGACAUUAAAGGUGAACUCCAAGGUCAAGGUACAUCAGUGUCAGAUCGCACCAUCCGUCGUUGUUUGAACCAAAGUGGACUUCAUGGGAGAUGACCAAGGAGGACACCAUUGUUGAAAACAAAUCAUAAAAAAGCCAGACUGGAAUUUGCCAAACUGCAUGUUGACAAGCCACAAAGCUUCUGGGAAAAUGUCCUAUGGACAGACGAGACAAAACUGGAACUUUUUGGCACAUCAGCUCUAUGUUCACAGACACAAAAAUGAAGCAUAUCAAGAAAAGAGUUUAAGUUUAGUGUUUUGCAAAUCACUGUGUGUAUUGUUCUGCAAAAAGUCUGAGGCUGACUGUGUUUAUAGUGGUGAAAAUCUGGAACAAUGUUUUGCUCCUUGAGUAUAAGGUGUUGAUAAUUAUGUUUGUGCAAUCAGAAAAAAAUGUAAAAUAAUUCUGUUAAACCACGAUUCAAAAGCAAUGUCUGAUUUUCAUUGGUUGAUUUUCAUGGAAUUUUUAUUUAUUAUUACUUUUGUCAGAUUCAAAUUAUUUCUGUGACCAUUGUGGGUUUUUCUUUCAUUAACUGAGGGGUACCAACAAUUUUCUCCAUGUGUGUAUAUGAGCGGCAGCCAUACAUUUGGGAAAAUCUAUUGCAAUCAAUGGUCAUGCUGAUGCAUGUCAGGGCUGGAUCAGACACACUAGGUCUUUCUUUCCAGAGAAAAUAUAGCUUGUGAUGUUGAUGAGGUCCUGUGGUCUGACCAGGCUGAAAGAAUUGAUGCAGACGUGCUGUAAAUAUUUGCAUACUGUGCUGUGUACAAUACAGUGCUGUAUUUUUUUUUGUCUAACAUCAUUUAUAUUUUAUAAUGUACAGUCAAGUACUGCAAUGGUCCCAUCUGAUUUAUUUAUAGGAUGCAUUAGUGUUUAAGUUGUCAUUUUUGAG